rnacentral:rRNA from 1 species
AGUGAACGCUGGCGGUAGGCCUAACACAUGCAAGUCGAACGGCAGCACAGUAAGAGCUUGCUCUUACGGGUGGCGAGUGGCGGACGGGUGAGGAAUACAUCGGAAUCUACUUUUUCGUGGGGGAUAACGUAGGGAAACUUACGCUAAUACCGCAUACGACCUACGGGUGAAAGCAGGGGAUCUUCGGACCUUGCGCGAUUGAAUGAGCCGAUGUCGGAUUAGCUAGUUGGCGGGGUAAAGGCCCACCAAGGCGACGAUCCGUAGCUGGUCUGAGAGGAUGAUCAGCCACACUGGAACUGACACACGGUCCAGACUCCUACGGGAGGCAGCAGUGGGGAAUAUUGGACAAUGGGCGCAAGCCUGAUCCAGCCAUACCGCGUGGGUGAAGAAGGCCUUCGGGUUGUAAAGCCCUUUUGUUGGGGAAGAAAAGCAGCAGGUUAAUACCCCGCUGUUCUGACGGUACCCAAAGAAUAAGCACCGGCUAACUUCGUG